AAGGUUUCAGAGCGUUUCAUUUGUAACCACAGUGCAUUUUGCAUUAUUGUAUAUAAGGCAGAGAGAGGUGAUACGGACAUCUUUGAGCCAUUUCAAACCCCAGAACAACAGGGAGCCACAGGGAAUACUUCACCCAGGUCUUACCUCCUGGCUGGCUUUGGUGGAGAGACAUAAUCAAGCUAUAGAAGGCCCACAGUCUGGCAAAGAGAUGGAUGUGGCUGUUCAAUGCCAAUGGGAUUGAGUUGGUGUUUCCAGCCUGCUUUUACCCACCACAGUCCCAUGGAGCCUUCUUGGCCCUGCAGCUGGACUGGGAGCACAGAGGAUUGCACUGCAUUUGGACUAGCUGAGCUUUGAAGGUCCCUUCCAACCCAAACUGUUCUAUUCCUCAUCCUUACAGAACUGGGUCCCCUGGAUCCUAUUCUCCCAUGACGGAUAAUCGAUUUGGUUUGUCAGGGGAGAGCUGUUGGUAAGUGCUGGGGAAUAAGGUGCAGUUUCUCACUGGGAGAGGCUUGGAGAGGUAACACACAAAUGUGUUUUGGGAGGGCUGCUUGUCUCAGCUGGCGUAGAGAGUGGUUGUUGUGAUUGAUAGGAUGGGUGGUGAGCAUCCAGACAUAAGCAGUGUUGUGCAUGGAAGCAUGGGUCACUCACCUCUUUGGGGCUCUUGGCACCAGGAUUUUGUUCCUGAAACAGGAUGGGAUCCCAGAGCAAUAAUGCCAGGAUGGGAAAUGUCGCAGUCUCUGCAAACCAAAGCAAGGAAGUGGAAUAAUGGGCCUGAUUUCCCCCUGUGGAUAGGAGAGCAAGGGAUGCCAGUGCUCCCCAGCAGAGCUGGUCAUCGUGGGAGAUGUACAAGGAUCAACCAUGAACACCCCAACAUUCAUUAAGGAGCCAACACAGGCACCCUUUGUCCUCAACUCAUCAGACCCUCAGGGGGAAAGCAUUUAGGAAAAGCUUUACCAAAACCUGGUAGUUUGAUAGUGGGUUUGAUAUAUGGAUGGGAAUGAAGCAUUUAACUGUGCAGGUCAAAUGGAACACCCACCCUGGGGUGCACAAGCCCAGAACCAACUUCAUCACUCAAGCUUUUGGGGUAGGGAUACUUGAGCAGCCAGGCCUCAGCAGCAAGGACAGAGCUUUACAGCUGCAUAUUGUCCAUAUUCUAUGAUUCUAUGGCUGUGAGCUGCCCUGUGCAAGCUGGGUGCUGUUACAGUACUGAGUAACAAGGGAUUUCAUGCUCA
rnacentral:lncRNA from 1 species